CAUGUUAGGCCAGGUCACACAGCAAUUCACUGACUUAGCUGGACCUAGAACUCAGUUCUAAGAAUUUAGUACAGGAUUCCAUUCACUGGAACUGUCAGACUUUCUUUAUGCCCUCUACUACUUAGAAACAGAUCCAAGUACUGGGGUAUAUUUAAAGGGUCUUGCUCUGUUGCCCUGGCUGGAGUGCAAUGAAGCAAACUCGGCUCAUAGCAGCCUCAACCUCCUGGAGUGAAGUGAUCCUCCCGCCUCAGCCUCGCAGUAGCUGGGACCACAGGCUGUGCCACCAAGCCCAGCUAAUUUUUUUAUUUUUUGUAGCAACAGCAUCCCGCUAUGUUGCCCAGGCUGGUCUCAAACUCCUGGUCUCAAGCAACCCUUCUGCCUAGGCUUCCCAAAAUGCUGAGAUUACAGGUGUAAGCCAUCCCUCCAGCCUUAAAUAUUUGUAAAUCCACAGACUAUCCCUGGAAGAAUAGAUAAGAAAUUUUUAAGAGUGAUUAUCUCUGCAAAGUUAUGACACUAGGGGCUAUUGGGUGGUAUACUCUGGCAACUUAAACUUUUUCUCAUCAAAAUGUAACAACUUAAAUACAUAAAAAUAAUGCAAUCUUUUCACAA